rnacentral:ncRNA from 1 species
CUCGCAAAAGCCAAACCCUCCGCGAGGGGGGGACGGAAUGUCACGGAUCUCAUGCGACGAGAUGGCCGGGCUGCCGAGU